GAUGAACGCUGGCGGCGUGCCUAAUACAUGCAAGUCGAGCGAACGGACGAGAAGCUUGCUUCUCUGAUGUUAGCGGCGGACGGGUGAGUAACACGUGGAUAACCUACCUAUAAGACUGGGAUAACUUCGGGAAACCGUAGCUAAUACCGGAUAAUAUUUGGAACCGCAUGGUUCAAAAGUGAAAGACGGUCUUGCUGUCACUUAUAGAUGGAUCCGCGCUGCAUUAGCUAGUUGGUAAGGUAACGGCUUACCAAGGCAACGAUGCAUAGCCGACCUGAGAGGGUGAUCGGCCACACUGGAACUGAGACACGGUCCAGACUCCUACGGGAGGCAGCAGUAGGGAAUCUUCCGCAAUGGGCGAAAGCCUGACGGAGCAACGCCGCGUGAGUGAUGAAGGUCUUCGGAUCGUAAAACUCUGUUAUUAGGGAAGAACAUAUGUGUAAGUAACUGUGCACAUCUUGACGGUACCUAAUCAGAAAGCCACGGCUAACUACGUG
rnacentral:rRNA from 1 species